rnacentral:tRNA from 1 species
GCGAUGGUGGUUCAGUGGUAGAAUCCUCACCUUCCAUGUGGGAGACCUGGGUUCAAUUCCCAGCCAAAGCA